UGAAUACGAGAUGCUACGGCGUCGAAGCAGUCUAUGUCAUACUUCCAAGAAAAGCUUGCACUGUCAUAAACAAAUAAUGCCUGUACCAUAACCGACACAGGUGGGUAGGUAGAGUAUACUAAGGGGCGCGAGAUAACUCUCUCUAAGGAACUCGGCAAAAUGACUCCGUAACUUCGGGAGAAGGAGUGCCUUAUUUAUAAGGUUGCAAUAACAAGAUCCAAGCAACUGUCUACCAAAAACACAGGUCUCCGCUAAGUCGUAAGACGAUGUAUGGGGGCUGACGCCUGCCCAGUGCCAGAAGGUUAAAGAAGUUGGUUAGCAUCCGCGAAGCUGAUAACUGAAGCCCUGGUGAACGGCGGCCGUAACAAUAACGGUCCUAAGGUAGCGAAAUUCCUUGUCGGGUAAGUUCCGACCCGCACGAAAGGCGUAAUGAUUUGGAUACUGUCUCGGAGAGGGGCUCGGUGAAAUAGACUUGUCUGUGAAGAUGCGGACUACCUGCACCAGGACAGAAAGACCCUAUGAAGCUUUACUGUAACCUGAAAUUGAAAUUGGACUUUACUUGCGCAGUAUAGGUGGGAGGCGUUGAGAAUAUUCUUGCGGGAUUAUUGGAGCCAUCAGUGAGAUACCACUCUUGUAAUGUUAGAUUUCUAACUUUGUAUCAUUAUCUGGUCAAAGAACAGUUUCAGGCGGGCAGUUUGACUGGGGCGGUCGCCUCCUAAACGGUAACGGAGGCGCACAAAGGUUUCCUCUGAACGGGUAGAAAUCGUAUCUAGAGUGUAAAGGCAUAAGGAAGCUUGACGGUGAGACCUACAAGUCGAGCAGGGACGAAAGUCGGUCUUAGUGAUCUGACGGUGCUGAGUGGAAAGGCCGUCACUCAACGGAUAAAAGUUACUCUAAGGAUAACAGGCUGAUCUCCCCCAAGAGUUCACAUCGACGGGGAGGUUUGGCACCUCGAUGUCGGCUCAUCGCAUCCUGGGGCGGUAGUACGUCCCAAGGGUUGGGCUGUUCGCCCAUGAAAGCGGUACGCGAGCUGGGUUCAGAACGUCGUGAGACAGUUCGGUCCAUAUCCGGUGUAGGCGUUAGAAUAUUGAGAGGAGCCUUCUUUAGUACGAGAGGACCGAGAAGGACAUACCUCUGGUGUACCAGUUAUCGUGCCAACGGUAAACGCUGGGUAGCUAUGUGUGGAGUGGAUAACCGCUGAAAGCAUCUAAGUGGGAAGCCCACCUCAAGAUAAG
rnacentral:rRNA from 1 species